UGCGGGGUGGCGCAGCGGUAGCGCGUCCGGCUCAUAACCGGAAGGGCGCCAGUUCAAUCCUGGCCCCCGCAACCA
rnacentral:tRNA from 1 species